UUGUUUACCUUCCAAAAAUUAGCUUUCAUUUUUUCUCUUGGGACACAAUGGGGUCAGUACGUUUCCUCAGGAUAGCUUCUAUUUCUCUGUGUUGGUUUUAAACGUAUAUCAAUUAAAGUUUUGAUCUCUUAUCUCUUCUGUGAAAUUAGACUGUACACAAUUGAAUAUGACUGCUCUUCAUAGUCUGCUGUUCUAGCAUAGCCAUAAAAUGUAUCAAUGUAUGUGUAUAUAUGAAUAACUAUUUGAUGACAGACAUGUUGUAUAUUUAAGCAGCCAUGUCAAAACUUUAAAGGUAGAUGGCUUCAAAAGUAACAGCAUAAUCAUACUUGCAAACCAUUUUACAGACAAACCAUGGCCUCAGCCCAGAUCUCUUAUCCUUAUCAGUACUCUGGCAACCACUCUUUCUUUUAAGACCCCGGAACACAGUUGUUUUUCAGCUGCUUUUUUUCUUCUCGCCAAGAUAUAUUUGCAUAAUGAUGACUACCUGUAACUGAAUCUUCACCAUUCAUCUCACAGCAAAGCAACCUUGGCACUGUGCCUCUGAGUUGUAUCUUCAUCGGUCUGAACCUGUGUCGCAUUGCGCACAGCAGGCGAGGUCUGCUAAUUCUGAGAGACUGAACAUUCCAUAGCUGGUACUGUGACUGUGCCCCACUGUUCAGAACAACCUUUUUUCAUGCAGUUUAUCUCCCACGUGUGCUCCGAGCACAUUUUUUCUUUCUGUCUUUUGGCCGGUUUAUAACAGUACUGCAGGAAUAGCCAUGAAAUAAAAACCUGAAUAUACUGAUUUUCCAGACCCAAGGGGAAUUUACAUUAGAAGUGAAGUUAUUACUUUCUGAAAAGUGGCGUUAUCAUUUCUUUUAAUUCUAUUCCUAUGAUAAUACGAUGUUCCAUGUAAAUUCUCAUGUGCUGGCAUGCCUACGAGUGAAUAGUGUAAUAGAAUGCUCAGCUCUCAACAUUAGAGUGUUUUUAAGGUGAAUCGCAUUACAUAUGCCAUCUCUUUGCAGAAAGAAUAUGGGGUUUGGCAAAGCUACCUGCUGAGCAACAUAAUAAGAUUUUUGUACAAAGUACAAGUUACUGAUUAUUAUUGUAUUUUAUUUUUCUAUGAUUUCCUAAGAGGCAUUAUCAGGUCUUACGGAUGGGGUAAGCCUGUUUAUUAAGAUAUUUAUUAGCAAAUAAAAGUUACGGUACUGGUGGUUAUUUUUGAGUUAAUGGUGUUUGUUUUGCCUUGGUUUACUAAUAUAAUGAUACACAGUGAAGCCUGUCAUACAUGAUCAUGCAAAAGAAAAAAGAAAAAAAAAACAGCUGCUUAACACAGGGUGGUGUACUAAUAAAGAUGGACCAGCAAUAUGUUCUAACACU
ensembl:lncRNA